UUUGAACUGAAUGGUGCUGUGCUGUUUUUUGAUAUAAAUUGUAUUCAUAUUUGGAGGACAUCUUUUGAUUUUUGUUCAAAUAAGGUCAGUUUUCUCUAAAUUAUAACUCACAUUCAGUACUACUUGAGUACUAGCAAUUAUACUGAUAUAAAUGAAAGAAAUGAGUAACAGUUUAUUUGCAAAAAGUAUAUAAUACAUGCAUUAUAGCAAUCAAAACAUAUUUAAAAAUAUGACUCGCAGUAAUAAACAGGGAAUGUAUUGUAUUUAUACAUGUGAGUUUGUAUGAAUGGUCAAAAUGAGUGGUGUGCACAUUGUAUGUAAAAUAUUGGUUCAUUUAGUUUCAGACGCAGUCAAUAUAAACAUCAAUUGUGUUAUUGUAUUUGGGCCAAUUUAUAUGAAUAUCUCAGUGUAAGUGGAAUUUUGGCAAUUGUAAUAACAUGUACACGUGAACAUGGUGAAAGUAAAUAGAUAAAAUAAAGUCUUGUAUAAAAAAUAAUAAUUUGUAUCAGUUAAGACACAAUUUUGUAUAUAAUGCACAAACUAUAAAAAUAAGUAUUUUUACAGAUAUUUAACCAUGCUGUUCCAAUAUUGUACAUGAUGUACUACAAUAGGUUUCAGACUUUUGUACUUCAUAUACAAUUAAGGGGAGUUUUGUAAUUCUGUUUGUAUGUGUGUUGUAUCUUAAGCUAAGGCUAAUAUAUUUAUUUUAGCUAGCUCAUUGAGUUAUGUUGCUAUAGGCUUUGCUUCAUAAGGGUAGCAUCAGUCAUUUAUAGGUCUAUAAUAAUUAUCGUUACUGUUAUUUUUGGUAAAAAUUUAACGUGAUUAGUCACAAUCAGUCAAUUUUUUUAUCGUCUAAAUGAAAGUGUACAUUUUAUCGUCAUGCAUAUAAAAAUACUGUUAACGUCAUUUGGCAAUAACUUUUACUGUUAUUCAUCAUGAAGGUACCCUCAAUACGACCCUUAACUUCAUGUGUACAUUAAUGAUUAACCCUAAAUACAAUGAUAGACAUUUUUCAGGCCAUUCUGUGGUAUGUAAUUGGUAGUCAACUUAAUAUAUUAAAUAUUAUAAGAUGUAUAAUUGAUGAUGAGUUAAUUUGUGAAGGCUUAUACAUGCUUAAUACAUAAAUUUGGAAAAAGUCCAAUACGUACAUGGAAAGUAGGAAAUAUUUGAGAACUAUGUUCGAUAUUAUCAUCUGAUAUGAACAGAGUUAUCUUUCUUUGCACUGAUUAUUUGCAUUUGCACUGAACAACAACAAAUGUGUGCUGUUUAUUGUUUAAUUUAUCUCAUGUAAUAUUAAUUAUGUAGAAGCAAUCUGAUAGUUGUGAUUUUAUACUACAUGUAUAAAACUAGUAUAUAUCUUAUCUUAUCUGAUAAAAAUCAUUGAGUUGUUUAUUUUUAUCAUACUGACAAAACUACAUAAUUUUAUAUACAGUAUAUAUUUUCAAAAAGUAUGCCUAUAUAUUGGUUAAUCCUAAUUCCUGUUUUUAUGAUUUGCAGGAAAUGAUUAAUAUUGACUGAAUGAAGAAUCUUCAAAGUUAAAUGCUUAUUAGAUUAAAGGAAAUGUGAAGAUCAGACCCAAAGUAUGACAUAAGGAGAAGCAGUUAUGAAUUUUGAAAUUGGUAUAAAGGAGAGGUUAACGAUUCAGAGAAGACUUAAAGCAAAGUUUACAGGUAGGAUAUACUCGAUUGUUUGAUUUUUUGUGUAGCCUGCAAUUUUUGUCGCAGACAGUAUGACAUUGGAUAAUGAUCCGAUGGCGCCUGUGUUAGCUAUAACUUCUUUUAAAAGCUUCAUAUUUUAGAAGGUGGAAGACCUGGAUUAGGUAUACUUUGUAUAUAGAUGCCUUAAUAUGUUACAAAAUUUUUGUCUGUCACAUGGCCAUUGUCCUUGACCUCAUUUUUAUGGUUCAGUGACUACUUGAAAAAAAAUCUGUAAUGAGAUAACUAUAUUUGGUAUGUGUGUACCUUGCAAGGUAGGCAUGCCCAUCAGACAGUUUUCACUUGACCUCGACCUCAUUUCAUGGAUCAGUGAACAAGGUUAAGUUAUGGUGGUCAAGUCCAUAUCUCAGAUACUGUAUGCAAUAGGUCUACUAUAUUUGGUGUCUUGAAUGAUGUUAAGGAGAACAUGUCCAACUGGCAGGUGUCAUCUGACCUUGACCUCAUUUUCAUGGUUCAGUGGUCAAAGUAAACUUUUUGAGUUUUGGUCUUUUUUUAUAAUACUAGAUGCAAUAGGUCUUCUUUAUUUGGUGUAUGGAAAUAUUUUAUGAUGUACAUGUCAGUCAUGCAGAUUUGAUUUGACCUUGAACUCAUUUUCACGGUUCAUUGCUCAGUGUUAAGUUUUUGUGUUUUGGUCUGUUUUUCUUAAACUGUAAGCAAUAGGUCAACUAUAUUUGUUGUAUGGAAGAAUUGUUAGCUGCACAUGUCUGCUGGCAUGUUUCAUCUAACCUUGACCUCAGUUUCAUCUUUCAUUGGUCAAUGUUUAGUUUUCUUGGUUAAUGCAAAGUUUAUGUGACAUUUUUGAUAAAGUUUUGUAUUUAGGACUAUCAACAUAAUAUCAUUGAUUAGUAAUUAUAUAUAAAGAAGGUUAGACAUUUCAGCGUGUGCACUCUUGUCAAAACAUUUAUUAGAUUCAUAAACUAUCCUGGAUUUUUACCAAACUUGGACAGAAUCUUCUUACAAUCAAGGAAUAUUUUAAUUAUUUGUUUUCUUCUCAACACGCGAUUAACAUCAAAAGUAGGCGAGACACUGGGUUCUGUGGAAACCCUUACAAAUUUAAAAAAAAAAACCUUUCAUUUUUCGAUUAGUUCCUAAUUUACAUGCAUGUUUACCCUAUAUAUGACCUCCCCUUGUUCUCCUUGUGCAUUAAUCAGUUAUCAAACUUUGUAAUUAACAAUUUGUUUGAUUUAAGGCUGAUUAAACUCCAACAAGCAGUACCCUACUUUAGAAUUUAUGAUAUGAUAUAUGUUGUUUUUACUUUUCAGUAUCUUUAGAAAAGUUCAUAACAAGCUUUUGGUAUCUUUAGAAAAGAUCAGAGCAAGCUACUAUGAUUGAAGAGGAACCACAGUGGUCAAGACUUAUCUUUAAAUAAAGUGAAUUGUUACUAGAAGUGAAGCCUCAACAGUCAUUAGGGAGCUACCAUUUGAUUUUUAUGGGGGGGGGGGGGGGGGCUAGGAUGAAUAAUUUUGUCCUGCAUUUUUUUUUAGCUGUAAUCUCUGUCCUGCCUUUUUAUUUUUCACUCUGUUCGGUCCUGCCUUUUUUUUUUUUAUAGUUUAUCCUUACUUUUUUAACGUAAAUUGUCGUCCUGACUAUUUUUUUUUUGCAAGUGUCUCAUCCUGCCUUUUUUUUUACUCAAAACUCCUGUCCUGCCUAUUUUUUUAAAAUUUCAUCCUAGCCCCCCCC
rnacentral:lncRNA from 1 species